UUCAUAAGCGCGGAUCUUCAGAGAUUAGAGUUUGAUCCUGGCUCAGAUUGAACGCUGGCGGAAUGCUUUACACAUGCAAGUCGAACGGCAGCACGGGUGCUUGCACCUGGUGGCGAGUGGCGAACGGGUGAGUAAUGCGUCGGAACGUGCCGAGUAAUGGGGGAUAACGCAGCGAAAGUUGUGCUAAUACCGCAUACGCCCUGAGGGGGAAAGUGGGGGAUCGCAAGACCUCACGUUAUUCGAGCGGCCGACGUCUGAUUAGCUAGUUGGUGGGGUAAAGGCCUACCAAGGCGACGAUCAGUAGCGGGUCUGAGAGGAUGAUCCGCCACACUGGGACUGAGACACGGCCCAGACUCCUACGGGAGGCAGCAGUGGGGAAUUUUGGACAAUGGGGGCAACCCUGAUCCAGCCAUUCCGCGUGAGUGAAGAAGGCCUUCGGGUUGUAAAGCUCUUUCAGCUGGAGUGAAACGGUGCGCUCUAACAUAGCGUGCUAAUGACGGUACCAGCAGAAGAAGCACCGGCUAACUACGUGCCAGCAGCCGCGGUAAUACGUAGGGUGCGAGCGUUAAUCGGAAUUACUGGGCGUAAAGCGUGCGCAGGCGGAUUGUUAAGCAAGACGUGAAAUCCCCGGGCUUAACCUGGGAAUGGCGUUUUGAACUGGCAGUCUAGAGUGCGUCAGAGGGGGGUGGAAUUCCACGUGUAGCAGUGAAAUGCGUAGAGAUGUGGAGGAACACCGAUGGCGAAGGCAGCCCCCUGGGAUGACACUGACGCUCAUGUACGAAAGCGUGGGUAGCAAACAGGAUUAGAUACCCUGGUAGUCCACGCCCUAAACGAUGUCAACUGGUUGUUGGGGGGAGUGAAAUCCCUUAGUAACGAAGCUAACGCGUGAAGUUGACCGCCUGGGGAGUACGGUCGCAAGAUUAAAACUCAAAGGAAUUGACGGGGACCCGCACAAGCGGUGGAUGAUGUGCAUUAAAUUCGAUGCAACGCGAAAAACCCUUACCUACCCCUUGACAUGUCCCAGAACCCUGAGAGAUUUGGGGGGGUGGCCCGAAAGGUAAAUUGGUAACACAGGAGCCUGCCAUGACCUGGUCGUUCAGCUUCGUGUCGUGGGAAUGUCGGGUUAAGUUCCUCUGGGCCUUAA
rnacentral:rRNA from 1 species